UGGGAGCAAUGUGCUUAAGGUACAUGGAAAAAAUCAACUGCAAACAGAAAGGCUGUGUUUUACACAGCCCUCUUCAGAAGACUCCCCUCUGUCACUGUAAUCAGCCCUAUUAUGUCAGGAUCCUAUACUGUGGGAUGGUGUCUCUCAGACUCAGGUGGGACAUCUAUCUUCAGUUAAAUUACUUUGGAACGGUCCUCAAAUAGACAAUUAAAUUGACCAUCAUAAAUACACCCUCAGACAACUUAAUAGCCAUAGUACAAUACCCUAGAACUAGCUGCCACAGACUCAGUCAUCUUAUAAUGCAAAAUGGAUUCAUUCCAACUUCAAAAGUCACUAUUGAUGAGCUGUUCCAGCAUUCAGAAGUCCAUACUCUCUUCUGAGACACAAUAGGAUCCAACUGUGAGCCCUAUCAAAAUAAAAAUUACAUGCUUCCAACGUACAA